rnacentral:rRNA from 1 species
CCUACGGGUGGCUGCAGUGGGGAAUAUUGGACAAUGGGCGAAAGCCUGAUCCAGCCAUGCCGCGUGUGUGAAGAAGGCCUUCGGGUUGUAAAGCACUUUCAGUGGGGAAGAAAGCCUUGGGGCUAAUACCCUCGAGGAAGGACAUCACCAACAGAAGAAGCACCGGCUAACUCCGUGCCAGCAGCCGCGGUAAUACGGAGGGUGCGAGCGUUAAUCGGAAUUACUGGGCGUAAAGCGCGCGUAGGCGGUCUGAUAAGCCGGUUGUGAAAGCCCCGGGCUCAACCUGGGAACGGCAUCCGGAACUGUCAGGCUAGAGUGCAGGAGAGGAAGGUAGAAUUCCCGGUGUAGCGGUGAAAUGCGUAGAGAUCGGGAGGAAUACCAGUGGCGAAGGCGGCCUUCUGGACUGACACUGACGCUGAGGUGCGAAAGCGUGGGUAGCAAACAGGAUUAGAUACCCGAGUAGUC